CGGGACUGGCGGGGCUCGAACCCGCAGCUUCC
rnacentral:tRNA from 1 species